GGGAAUGAAAGGCGGGAUUGCACGGGCGGGGCUUCAAUUUUUUCUCAAUGACUCUGUAUAUUCGUCGAUCCCUUCUUAUCUGAGAAUCAAAUCUUGGUCUUAUUCAUCGUCUUCAAGAAACAGAGUUUGCUUUGACUAUAGGUAUUGAGUCUUUCUCUCAAUGUGAAUUUACUGCAAUCCGAUCUUCUCCCUAUUUUGAAUUUUACUGAAUUUGCUUCCAUAAAUCUUCUUCAGGAUACAAAGCUUUGUUUAGACUGUACUGCACUAGGUAUGAAGACGCCCUUCCUUAUGAAUAUAAGAUUACAGUAUCGUCGUUCUUAUUCUGAAUUUUUCUGCUAUUAAUCCCUAUUAUAUUAUACCCAGCUUCGUAUAUAAACUAUUUAAUCCACAAAGUUACCUAUAGCUCAUUUAAAAGUUGUUUUUCAUAUGUGAAUUUUGGACGUUUAUGAUAUACCUAUUACAAAUAUGUCUAAUUGUAUGAUACAUGAGGGCUUUUGAAUAAGUAAAUGGUCAUUACCUGAUCAUUUAGUUAUUUCUUCAAUUAAUAAUAAUCACAUAUUUUAUGAGACAUACUACGUCAUAUAGUAUAUUAAAAUUUUCUUAUCUUUAUUUAACUCCGUUGAUUUUUAAGGGAAAUAUAGUUCUCAACUGCUCAUGUCGGCACCGGCAUAGAAGCCUGCACAAACUUUGUAACGACCCUCUCAUGCCAUAACAGGUGUCACUAGCAUCUUCAUCAAGCAAUAGCAGGUGUCACUACUUUUCUUUUGCAUUGUCCGAAACACAUAGGAAAGCUAGUAAGCUACUGUACUUUUGCUCUUCAUUUUUACUAAAAAAGAGUCCUUUGAUUAGACAAGAUAAUCCAGCAGCAGACCAAAU
rnacentral:lncRNA from 1 species